GACGAACGCUGGCGGCGUGCUUAACACAUGCGAGUCGAACGGAAAGGCCCUGCUUUUGUGGGGUGCUCGAGUGGCGAACGGGUGAGUAACACGUGAGUAACCUGCCCUUGACUUUGGGAUAACUUCAGGAAACUGGGGCUAAUACCGGAUAGGAGCUCCUGCUGCAUGGUGGGGGUUGGAAAGUUUCGGCGGUUAGGGAUGGACUCGCGGCUUAUCAGCUUGUUGGUGGGGUAGUGGCUUACCAAGGCUUUGACGGGUAGCCGGCCUGAGAGGGUGACCGGCCACAUUGGGACUGAGAUACGGCCCAGACUCCUACGGGAGGCAGCAGUGGGGAAUAUUGCACAAUGGGCGGAAGCCUGAUGCAGCAACGCCGCGUGCGGGAUGACGGCCUUCGGGUUGUAAACCGCUUUCGCCUGUGACGAAGCGUGAGUGACGGUAAUGGGUAAAGAAGCACCGGCUAACUACGUG
rnacentral:rRNA from 1 species